rnacentral:lncRNA from 1 species
UUUUUAAAAGUAAGGUCCUAUCUCAAACCGACAACAUGAAGUGAAACAAUAAUAAUCUAAAGAUAAGCUAGUUUAUAGGGAAAGGCUGAAAAAUAAUUAUUUAAAGGAAAGAUACGACCUCUUCUUGCAGAUCUGAAUCAGUGGAUGAGUUUGGAUGUCAAAAUGUAGAAUGCAGAACCGGAACCCGACGAUUUGUAGAAAAUGCUGCUGGAAGAUGGCUGACUGCAGCGUCGUUGUAGAAGUCCAACUCACGGCAGGGUCUGGAUCCAGGUGCAGGGCUUGAAAGCUGGGCCCGCAAGAUACUGGGCCAGAGGAUUAGCUGGGUCCGCAAGACGCUGAACCGGCCCACUCACCCGAAAGAUUAGCUGGGCCCGCAAGGCGCUGAACCGGCCCACUCGCCCGAAUGCAGUAGAAGGGACCCGAAGCUUCUGGAUGGCUUCGGUCCUUCGGAUCCCUCUGUGUGAUCGGGAGGGGAGUUGAGGGAGACACCGGGUGAGUCGGAAAGGGAAGGAGCGAUGUCGGAGGGUGGAUCCCUCGUUCUGGGGAGCGAGGGGGUCGGCGAAGGCGGAGGAUGGAGUCGGCAGCGGAAGUCGGAGGUGGCGGCACAGAAGAAGAAGGGGUCUUGGUGAGAUGAAAGGGAGAAAAAAUGGGAGAACUCGAGGGUUGAGGAAACGGAGAAGAUGAAAGAGGGGGAAAGGGGAGGGUGGCGGUGUGAUUGAAGCAGCGGUGCGUGGUCGCAGAGGAAAGCAGCGGCGGCGAGCGAGAAGGACCUGGCUGCGGAAGGGAGAGGCGGCUCGGCGGCAGCAACAGGGAGCGGCGACAGUGGCGGUGGAGGCGUGGCAGCGAAGCGUCGACGGCGGCAGUGGUGGCGGAACCCUAGAUCUAGGGUUCUUCUCCGUCGAGCAACAGGUACGAUCUGGUAUCUUUCUUCUUUUUUUUUUUCUUUUAUUUUUUUUU